rnacentral:rRNA from 1 species
GUUCUACUUUAGCUUUCUUCUGACCCUUAACAAACUACUAAGCUUAAAAGUUAUUCAAUUAAGGCACAGCUUAUUUGAAAAAGGCUACAACCUGGACAUUAGGGUAAGUUUAUUUUCCUCAACAAAGUUGGCCUAAAAGCAGCCAUCUUUAAGAAAGCGUUAAAGCUCCGUAUCUUUACUUUUAAAUUCCUAACAAUAUAUCCAACCCAUCAUUAGUACUGAAUGAUUUCAUAAAUUAUGAAAGCCACCAUGCUAGAACUAGUAACAAGAAAAUGAAUUUCUCCAAAGUGUAAGCAAAAACCAAGAUGGACCUUCCAUUGGUAAUUAACGAUUCUGAACAAACUAUAGCAACUCCCAAGAAAACCCUAUAUACCACCCCGUUAACCUGACACAAGAACACUUCUGGAAAGAUUAAAAGGAGAAGAAGGAACUCGGCAAAUUUUAGCCCCGCCUGUUUACCAAAAACAUCGCCUCUUGUUUAAAUAUAAGAGGUCCAGCCUGCCCAGUGAUAAUUCAUUCAACGGCCGCGUAAUUUAAAGCGCGCAAAGGUAGCGUAAUCACUUGUUCUUUAAAUGAGGACUCGAAUCAACGGCACCACGAGGGCUAUACUGUCUCCUUCCCCCAAUCAGUGAAACUAAUCCCCCUGUGAAAAAGCAGGGAUAUCCCUAUAAGACGAGAAGACCCCAUGGAGCUUUAAACAUGACAACAUCUUUAAAAUUUCAUACACCCACCUUAUUAGCACGAAAGCAUUGUGCGUUAGUUUUAGGUUGGGGCGACCGCGGAGUAUAAGAAAACCUCCACAACGAAAGGGAAUAAGCCCUUACUUGAGAAAAACACUUCUACAAAUUAUUAAUAUAACGUUUAAUGACCCGAUUAUCGAUUAACGAACCAAGUUACCCUGGGGAUAACAGCGCAAUCCAUUUUGAGAGCUCAUAUUGACAAAUGGGUUUACGACCUCGAUGUUGGAUCAGGGUAUCCCAGUGGUGCAGCCGCUACUAAAGGUUUGUUUGUUCAACAAUUAAAACCCU